AGAGAAAGAAAUCAACUAAUUCGCACAUUAUAAAUACAAUCAGUAAGUGGAACAGCAAAAAUAUGCAAGACUUUUCUCAGGUUCAAAAUAUGAAUUUGUUUUUGUUAACUACAUUCCAAAAUGGAGCUUUGUGUCUUGUAUUAAAAAUCA